rnacentral:lncRNA from 1 species
AUGGCGUGGCAGGGGUGGGACAGUGCCCUGUCCUUGGUGGUGCCCUGUCCUCCUGGUGCCGUGUCCUCCUGGUGCCCUGUCCUUGGUGGUGCCCUCUCCCUCCUGGUGCCCUGUCCUCCUGGUGCCCUGUCCCUCCUGGUGCCCUGUCCUUGGUGGCACCCUGUCCUCCUGGUUCCCUGUGCCUCCUGGAGCUGUGCCCAUGCUGGUGCUGUGUCCAUGAGUUGUGUGACCCUGGCAGUGCCACUCCUGGUGGCCUCAUGCCCGUGGCAGUGCCAUGCUUAUGGUGGUGGCCGAGCUGUGCACGUGGUGGCGGCGUCCCCUCAAGCAGGGCCACGCUGGUGGCCCUGCAUGUCCAUGGUGGGGCCACGUCCUUGGUGGUGUCCCAUGGCAGGGCAAUGUCCGUGGUGGCAUUGUCCCAUCUUAUUGGGGUCCCACGCCGGUGCCAUGUCCGUGUUGGUGUUGUCCCGUUCUGUGUCCAUGUCACUGCUGUCCCCUGCCUGUGCUGGCUGUCCCCUGUCCAUGUCACAGCUGUCCCCUGUCCAUGCUGGCUGUCCCCUGUCCAUGUCACCACUGUCCCCUGUCUAUGCUGGCUGUCCCCUCCAUGCUGGCUGUCUCCUGUCCACGUCACUGCUGUCCCGUCCAUGCUGGCUUUCCCCUGUCCAUGUCACUGCUGUCCCCUCCAUGCUGGCUGUCCCCUGUCCAUAUCACUGCUGUCCCCUCCAUGCUGGCUGUCCCCUGUCCAUGCUGGCUGUCCCCUGUCCAUGUCCCUACUGUCCCCAGUCCAUGCUGGCUGUCCUCUGUCGAUGUCACUGCUGUCACCUCCAUGCUGGCUGUCCCCUGCUGUCCCCUCCAUGUCCCCGCUGUCCCCGCGGGUGCCGUGCCGUGACCCGGUGGUGCCCGCAGUGGUUGCAUGCCCGCGGCGGUGCCGUGCCCGUGCCGGUGGCGUGUCAUUGGCGUGGCGCUGAGCGCGUGUCCCCAGCAUGCUCAUCACCUACGACGACGUGGUGA